UAAGAAGUUCAAAAGGUUUGAUCUCAUGCUUGAAAUGAUACUAGUUCAUAGCUUCAUAUUAGUUUUAAGUUUUAACUUGCUGGCAAAGAAAAUUCGCCACUUGAGAAUGGGUUAAGAUAGUCAGGUUCAUUAAAAAUAUAGGUGAAGGUCAAUAGUACUUAUGUUAAAACAGAGUUCAAAUCAGGUACAUCAUAUCUUCUACUUUCACUGAUAAAAUAAAGAUAUUCUGGUGCUCGAGAUCUGCAUAGGUAUCUAUUAUUUUGAAAGGACUUGUGGAAGUGAAAUUCAUUAGGCAUUUCCUCGUAGUUCAAAACUAAUCAGCAACUCAUGUCUCCUUUUCUGAUAAAAUUAUCACGAUAUUCACCGUCCUCUAAACCUGAUAAGCUAUUGAUUGAUGUAAGCACAGGGUGAACAUGAGACUGAUCAAGUGGCAACAGAAACUUAGGAAGCUCCAAGGCAUAUUGGGAGAAAAGGUACCUGUCUAGUUUGUUUCAGAUGGAAGAGCUAAGCAACAGACCAUGGCGUGGCAGGUGGGCAGUAGAUACCUGUUAGAAUAACUGUUUGCUGAGUAUGCUCUUCAGAUCAAUUUUCUUGACUCAGGGAAGGCACUUAUUUGGUGGUCCUAUCAAUUUCAUCCAUCUUUUUGUGUCAGAGAGCCAUGUCAACUGCCGAUUGAGGUCAUCAAGUUACUUGUAGUCAUCUUCCUCAUUCUUAUCAAAUUCUUUAAUCCCUAAAUAAGUAGAUUACACAAGGAAUUGAUACAGGACAUCUCAAAAGCCUUUUUUUCUCUUGGCUACUGUUAGGCUUUUAAAUAAAUAAGAAUCGCAAUCAAUGCUUGUGCAAAUGAUCGCUGCAACUCAGGAACGCUCUCUUUCUUAAGCAUUGAAAAAUAUGGAUAGAAUUAUCUGUUUUCUCUU